UACAGAGGGUGCAAGCGUUGCUCGGAUUUACUGGGCGUAAAGCGUGCGCAGACGGCGAGGCAGGUCGGGUGUGAAAGCCCCGGGCUCAACCCGGGAAUUGCAUUCGAAACCAUCUUGCUCGAGUGUGGAAGAGGGAAGCGGAAUUCCCGGUGUAGAGGUGAAAUUCGUAGAUAUCGGGAGGAACACCAGCGGCGAAGGCGGCUUCCUGGUCCAUUACUGACGUUCAGGCACGAAAGCGUGGGUAGCAAACAGG
rnacentral:rRNA from 1 species